rnacentral:tmRNA from 3 species
GGGGCUGAUUCUGGAUUCGACGGGAUUUGCGAAACCCAAGGUGCAUGCCGAGGGGCGGUUGGCCUCGUAAAAAGCCGCAAAAAAAUAGUCGCAAACGACGAAACCUACGCUUUAGCAGCUUAAUAACCUGCUUAGAGCCCUCUCUCCCUAGCCUCCGCUCUUAGGACGGGGAUCAAGAGAGGUCAAACUCAAAAGAGAUCGCGCGGAUGCCCUGCCUGGGGUUGAAGCGUUAAAACGAAUCAGGCUAGUCUGGUAGUGGCGUGUCCGUCCGCAGGUGCCAGGCGAAUGUAAAGACUGACUAAGCAUGUAGUACCGAGGAUGUAGGAAUUUCGGACGCGGGUUCAACUCCCGCCAGCUCCACCA